AACGAACGCUGGCGGCAGGCCUAACACAUGCAAGUCGAGCGCCCCGCAAGGGGAGCGGCAGACGGGUGAGUAACGCGUGGGAAUCUACCAUCUCUGCGGAAUAACGCAUGGAAACGUGUGCUAAUACCGUAUACGUCCUUCGGGAGAAAGAUUUAUCGGAGAUGGAUGAGCCCGCGUUGGAUUAGCUAGUUGGUGGGGUAAAGGCCUACCAAGGCGACGAUCCAUAGCUGGUCUGAGAGGAUGAUCAGCCACACUGGGACUGAGACACGGCCCAGACUCCUACGGGAGGCAGCAGUGGGGAAUAUUGGACAAUGGGCGCAAGCCUGAUCCAGCCAUGCCGCGUGAGUGAUGAAGGCCCUAGGGUUGUAAAGCUCUUUCACCGGUGAAGAUAAUGACGGUAACCGGAGAAGAAGCCCCGGCUAACUUCGUGCCAGCCGCCGCCGUAAGAC
rnacentral:rRNA from 1 species